rnacentral:tRNA from 1 species
GCCCGAGUGGCGGAAUGGCAGACGCGGAGGUCUCAAAAACCUUUGUCCUCUGGACGUGUGGGUUCGACUCCCACCUCGGGCACCA